rnacentral:lncRNA from 1 species
GAAGGAAGGGACAAGGAAAACCUGUAUUUUAAUUACCUAGCUGGAAAUGUCUUAUGCACCUGGCACAUAGAGGCUGCUGGAGUUGCAGGAGCCAUCCUCUUUCCAGCCCUUAAUAUGCUGCCAAAGUGGAAGAAAAACAUCUGAAGGAGGCUGAGUCCAAAACAGGAUUCUCAGUAGUGCACUUAGAUUCUUCCCUCCUGACAGUGGAAACACCACUGUCUUCUGGUGCUCCGGGGAGGAGGCAACAGUGAACAGCAAAGCAAAGGUCGACCCUGCCUGGAAAUAUUUGUGUAUUGUGCUGAUAUUGCAGCGAUGACAACAGGCCAACCUGUGUGCUAUUGCUCUGCGCGUGUUGGGAAGGUAUUUUUGCUUUCCCCUGGUCUAAGCUGGGAUCUCCAGAAGCUUUAGAUCCGCUCCUGUUAUCUGCUGUCUCCUGACCUCUCCUCACCUUGGGGAUUCCAACGCAAGGCCACUGACCCUAUCGUAGGACACAAGGACUCAAACAGUGGGCUGAGCUGGGGACUGCAUGGCCUUGCUGAAAUCUGGGGAGAGGCCAACAGGAGAUCCUAGGGCAGAAAGGUGAGGUUUAAAUUCAAUGCCUGCUACACUGUCAUGUGGGUCCUCCCAUGCAAGGGGGACAAAUGCAAGCAGAGAGCUGCCCAAGUUGCGGCUGAGAAGAAGCAUCUGCCAUUGGGGACUGCUAAAACAACACCACACCUUCUCCCAAAUCUUCCAGGAGGCACAGGUUGCUAUCAUACACCUCUCCCAUCAUGGGUGUAGGCCCUUUAAUCCCACUGAAUCCAUCAGGCCUGCAUGAAAAACCCACACUGUGAUCCAGCAGGUGAUCCAGAAACGCUCCCGGGAGCCACAGAAGUGAUGUCGCUGCUCAGUCCACUGCGCAAGGGGAGCAUUGCGUCUUGUAUUGCUUUGGGAAGGCAAAAAAUCCCACUGCAAAGGAUUUUUUAGCCAGCUGAAGCAGGCCGGGCCCCCCGGGUCUCCACAGGGCAAGGGCGGACCCAGCGCGGCUCUCCCCGAGAACCAGCCAGCUGCCCGCACCGGGACUGGCGACGUGGGGAG